GUAGUUAUAGACAGUACAGCAACAAUAAUAAUAAUAAUAAUAAUAAGUCACAGUUUGUUAAGGUAGUUAUAGACAGUACAGCAACAAUAACAAUAAUAAUAAUAAUAAUAAUAAGUCACUGUUUGUUAAGGUAGUUAUAGACAGUACAGCAACACAAUUAUUUUUAUUCAUUAAAAGUAGGCUAUUUAUUGUCUUUCAAUCUGUUCUUUUCUAAAUGUUUCUGAGAAUAUAGACAGAAGUGCUAAAACGGACAUGAUUGAUCUGAGGGGGAAAUUAUUGAUCCAUUCAGAAAGGUUUUUUUGUACAAGUAAUUGAUGUUAUAUUAUGUAAAGUAGGCUAGGUUAUAAUGUAUAGUAGUGGGUUGUUAGUGAUAUGUAGAUAUUAUAUUAUGUAAAGUAGACUAGGUUAUAAUGUAU
ensembl:lncRNA